CUCAUAAUGGGACUCUGCGCUGUUGGCCUCACAUUGUUUUAAGGCUAAUCACUGCUUUUUCACAGAUGGAGUUUUUCCCCCACCCACUCUAUUUUCAUGAUCUUUUAAAACAGUUUGGAUUUGCUCUAAAGCAGUUCCACAUUUGCCUGUGUUUAUUCGGUCAUAAAAAAGCCACAAUGAGAAACGGGACCACUGACAAUUAAGCUCGAGAUGUGAUUGAGAAGGGGGACCAGGACACAUUCCUUAGAGUUUACUGAAGAGACAUGGAGAAGAAAGUGAGGAAAUGGU